AAACCUCUCAUUCCAAUUCUUUAUUUCAUUAUAUUGAGUUGUGAUAUGGAUGUUGAGUGCUGCCGUAAUUUGGCUCACUUUAAAUUUAUAAGUACUUUUAUUGAAGAAAUAAAUGGAUAUUUACUCAGUGUAAUAUUUACUAUUCAUUGAGGAGUGUAGUCAUUUUUCUAUGACGACAGCCAUUUGCACAUUCAAUAAAUAGCUUCCUAACCCUAUCUAUAUAUAUAUCAAAUU
rnacentral:misc_RNA from 1 species